rnacentral:rRNA from 1 species
UACGGAGGGUGCAAGCGUUAUCCGGAUUCACUGGGUUUAAAGGGUGCGUAGGCGGGUUGGUAAGUCCGUGGUGAAAUCUCCAAGCUUAACUUGGAAACUGCCGUUGAUACUAUCUGCCUUGAAUAUUGUGGAGGUGAGCGGAAUAUGUCAUGUAGCGGUGAAAUGCUUAGAUAUGACAUAGAACACCAAUUGCGAAGGCAGCUCGCUACACAUAUAUUGACUCUGAGGCACGAAAGCGUGGGGAUCAAACAGG